GGGUGCGAUCAUACCAGCACUAAUGCACCGGAUCCCAUCAGAACUCCGAAGUUAAGUGUGCWUGGGCGRGAGUAGUMCUAGGAUGGGUGACCUCCUGGGAAGUCCUCGUGUUGCACCCC
rnacentral:rRNA from 1 species